rnacentral:rRNA from 1 species
UACGUAGGGUGCAAGCGUUUAAUCGGAAUUACUGGGCGUAAAGCGUGCGCAGGCGGUUUUGUAAGUUUGUCGUGAAAUCCCCGGGCUCAACCUGGGAAUGGCGAUGAAGACUGCAAGGCUAGAAUCUGGCAGAGGGGGGUAGAAUUCCACGUGUAGCAGUGAAAUGCGUAGAGAUGUGGAGGAACACCGAUGGCGAAGGCAGCCCCCUGGGUCAAGAUUGACGCUCAUGCACGAAAGGCGUGG